GUGGGGAAUAUUGGACAAUGGACCAAAAGUCUGAUCCAGCAAUUCUGUGUGCUCGAUGAAGGCCUUCGGGUUGUAAAGAGCUUUAAGUAGGGAAGAAGAAAGUGACGGUACCUACAGAAUAAGCGACGGCUAAAUACGUGCCAGCAGCCGCGGUAAUACGUAUGUCGCAAGCGUUAUCCGGAAUUAUUGGGCAUAAAGGGCGUCUAGGCGGUUUAGAAAGUCUGAUGUGAAAAUGCGGGGCUCAACUCCGUAUUGCGUUGGAAACUACUAGACUAGAGUAUUGGAGAGGUAAGCGGAACUACAAGUGUAGAGGUGAAAUUCGUAGAUAUUUGUAGGAAUGCCAAUUGGGAAGCCAGCUUACUGGACAAAUACUGACGCUGAAGCGCGAAAGCUAGGGGAGCAAACGGGAUUAGAUACCCCGGUAGUCC
rnacentral:rRNA from 1 species